AACGAACGCUGGCGGCAUGCCUAACACAUGCAAGUCGAACGAGACCUUCGGGUCUAGUGGCGCACGGGUGCGUAACGCGUGGGAACCUGCCCUUAGGUUCGGAAUAACUCCCCGAAAGGGGUGCUAAUACCGGAUAAUGUCUUCGGACCAAAGAUUUAUCGCCUUUGGAUGGGCCCGCGUUGGAUUAGCUAGUUGGUAGGGUAAAAGCCUACCAAGGCGACGAUCCAUAGCUGGUCCGAGAGGAUGAUCAGCCACACUGGGACUGAGACCCGGCCCAGACUUCUACGGGAGGCCGGCGUGGGGAAUAAUGGAACAAGGGCCAAAGCCCGAUCCCGCCAUGCCGCGGUAGUGAUGAAGGCCUUAGGGUUUUUAAGCUUUUUUUCCCCGGAUUAUAAUGAACGUACCCGGAGGAUUAGCCCCGGCCAAACCCCU
rnacentral:rRNA from 1 species